rnacentral:rRNA from 1 species
UACAGAGGGUGCAAGCGUUAAUCGGAGUUACUGGGCGUAAAGGGCGCGUAGGUUGUUGCAUAAGUUGGUUGUGAAAGCCCUGGGCUUAACCUGGGAAUUGCAACCAAACUGUGUAACUAGAGUACUGUAGAGGGUAGUGGAAUUUCCGGUGUAGCGGUGAAAUGCGUAGAGAUCGGAAGGAACACCAGUGGCGAAGGCGGCUACCUGGACAGAUACUGACACUGAGGCGCGAGAGCGUGGGGAGCAAACAGGG